UACGGGGGGGGGCAAGCGUUGUUCGGAAUUACUGGGCGUAAAGGGCUCGUAGGUGGCCAACUAAGUCGGACGUGAAAUCCCUCAGCUUAACUGGGGAACUGCGUCCGAUACUGGAUGGCUUGAGUUUGGGAGAGGGAUGCGGAAUUCCAGGUGUAGCGGUGAAAUGCGUAGAUAUCUGGAGGAACACCGGUGGCGAAGGCGGCAUCCUGGACCAACACUGACACUGAGGAGCGAAAGCCAGGGGAGCGAACGGG
rnacentral:rRNA from 1 species